rnacentral:lncRNA from 1 species
GUGUUGGUAUGGCUUAGCAAUUUUAAUGUUCAGACAUUUUUGAUGUAGUGAUAGAAUACACCAUCAACUUUGCUUAAUAAAUAUUUUAUUUGCCUGCUAUUACCAUACUUGUGUAAAAAUUUUGUGAUAGAUCAAUUGAAAAUUAACAAAAACAAAUAUUUAAAUAAAAUUUUACCUUAAAAAAAAAUAUUGCAUAGUGAAAAUGAUGAGCCAAAGUUUUCAUAUUCAUUCAACAAAGGUGUUGGCAGCCAACUCAGUAUUUACUAAGCCCAUCUUUGGCUUUGAUGAUGGCUUGGAUAUAUUCUGUUCCUACACUCUGCCAGUUUUUUGUUGUAAUCAGUGUCAGUUUCUUCCCAGCAUGAAACAACUGUGGGGCCAUGGGACGAUAUUGACAGGCGUUGGCCUAAGUGUGGUGAGGGAUGCGCAUAAGGAUGGGUAAUGAGAAUCGGCGAAUAAAAUGGAGACGACGUUCAAUGAGAACAACUUCCUUUAUUUGAGAGAUUCCAAUCACAAUGUAUGUGACUCGUGAUUUUACAAUGAGAGGAGAAAUACCUGAUAUAUAUAUAGUUUAAUUCUCCAGGAGACACAGUCGAAACAACCGGAAGAUUCUAAACCGAUGAAUUAGAUGGGCAAUCACAAUUGACAGUCUUUAGUCCAUAAACAAAUCAAGGAUGCACCUAGAGGAGAGA